AGCUAGCGGUAAACAUGCAUGG
rnacentral:miRNA from 1 species